CAUGGUUUUCAGCAACUAGUACUGAGAAGCAUUCUAACAGGUGACCAGAGAAAUUGUUGUCCUGUAGCCGUCAUAAAUGGCAUCUGCUCUUAAAGACACCCUGGCUCAGUGUCACCCCUCUGUACACUCGAGGAGACUGGACAGAUGGGUAGCAGGACAGUUCUGGGGUAGUCACGGCCACGUGCCUCUCCCUCUCCGGACUGCAUUUACCAGCUCUGAAAUUCUGUUGUCUCCUCCCCAACAGAGGAAAUAAAAAGGACUCGCCUCUCUCUCAAGCUUCAUACUCAGAGGGAACACGUCAGAGCAUUUUCCGGACUCACAGUGACCACUCCAGCGGCUGAGCCUCCCGGGCAGCCAUCUUGUGGGAUGUGCUCUGGCCUCCAGGCCACAGUUGGUUGAGGAAGGAAGGGGCAGUCAUCUGAUCCAGGCCAGAGUUCCUUUUUCUCUACACUUGGAAUUGGGAGAGAGAGGGCAAAAGAUCAACUGACUUUCCUUCUCCAGAGAGCUAGACCUGUAAAAGGAAGAAGAAAGGAGGCUGGACAAAGGAGGAAACCUGAAGGAGGCAGUUUUAAACCAGCUGUAGGACUCCUAACCCUGAGUCUGUGAAUCAUCAAAUAAUUUACACAGAUGAUAUUUGGUCUCUAGUACUACUGUAUCCAUUACCUAUCGCUGCAUAAAAAUCAUCCCAAAACUUUGUGGCUUAGAACACCAACAUCUUCACUGUCACAAGUUUCUGGGGGUCUGGAACCAGGGCACGGCUUAGCUGGAUUCCUUGGCUCAGAGUCUCUCAAGAGGCUGCACUCAAGUGUCAGCAGAAACUGUAGUCAUCUCCAAGCUCGACCAGGGGAAGAUGUACUUCCAAGCUCCCUCCUAUGGCUGUUGGCAGGCCUUCGGUCCUGGCUGACUCUUGAUGGGAGGCAUCAAUUCCUUGCCAUGCAGGCCUCUGAAGAGUGCCACUCACAACAUGGCCUCUGGCUGGUGGCUGCUCUCUGUUCCUUGCCACAUGGGCCUCUACACAGAGCAGAUCACAACAUGGCAUCCUGCUUCAUCAGAGAGAAGGCAAGAAAAGCCUGAGACAGAAUAGGAGCAAAGGGCCUGCUCUUUUGUAAUCUAAUCUCAGAAGUGACAUCCCGUCACCUUUGCUGUAUCUUGUUAGAAGCAAGUCAUUAGAUACAGCCUGCACUCCAGGUGAAGGGAUUAGACAAGGGGGUGCACAUCAGAAGGCAGGGAUCAUCAAGAAUAAUGUGAGAAGCUGAUCUCCACAACUACUUUAAAGAAGGCUCUUUUCCUUGCUGGUCUAGUCAAUCUUGGAUCUUAGCUUCAGGGUCAGCUCUCCCUGGAGCCACACCAGAAUGUGGGUGUGUCCAAUGUCACCCACCCGGAAUCCAAGACUCCUAAGUUCCUGAUCAGUCCUCUGUUUCCUUUCAUGCGUGUCUAGUUAGGACCCUAGCACACGUACAUGGAGCUCCACAGUGCCAAGCAGAAGAAUUUGACUUUAAAACACAGGCUCUAAGGUUUCUAAACAGAAGAGUGCUAUGACAGAAGUGAUUUUUAAAGAAAGAUUAGUGUGAUGACUGUAAAGUGAGUUGGAGAGGGAAAGACUGGAAAUUACAUUAAUUCCAAUUUAUUUACACUUAGCAUAUUUAUGCUCUACGGUUUUGUAGUUUGUGAUUGUAAAAACAUCCCAUGUGUUUUCAUAAGUCCUAAUAAAAUGGUCUUUGAAAGAA